rnacentral:rRNA from 1 species
UGGGGAAUUUUGGACAAUGGGCGAAAGCCUGAUCCAGCAAUGCCGCGUGUGUGAAGAAGGCCUUCGGGUUGUAAAGCACUUUUGUCCGGAAAGAAAUCCUUGGCUCUAAUACAGUCGGGGGAUGACGGUACCGGAAGAAUAAGCACCGGCUAACUACGUGCCAGCAGCCGCGGUAAUACGUAGGGUGCAAGCGUUAAUCGGAAUUACUGGGCGUAAAGCGUGCGCAGGCGGUUUGCUAAGACCGAUGUGAAAUCCCCGGGCUCAACCUGGGAACUGCAUUGGUGACUGGCAGGCUAGAGUAUGGCAGAGGGGGGUAGAAUUCCACGUGUAGCAGUGAAAUGCGUAGAGAUGUGGAGGAAUACCGAUGGCGAAGGCAGCCCCCUGGGGCCAAAUACUGACGCUCAUGCACGAAAAGCGUGGGGGAGCAAAACAGGAUUAGAUACCCUGGUAGUCCACGCCCUAAAACGAUGUCAACUAGUUGUUGGGGAUUCAUUUCCUUAGUAACGUAGCUAACGCGUGAAGUUGACCGCCUGGGGAGUACGGUCGCAAGAUUAAAACUCAAAGGAAUUGACGGGGUCAUAGCUGUUUCCU